CUCAGCCUGCUCUUACUUUAGGCAAUAAAUGCUCUUGGAUGUGAAAAAAGGAACCGAACCAAAAUUUCAACUGGAUGACCGCAGCAGUUAAUCUUUUAUAUAUUCUAGGGCAGGGACGUCACACUCAUUUUUCCGUGGGCCACAUUGCAAUUACGGUAGCCCUCAAAGCGUCGUUUAAUGAUAUUAUUACACAAUUUACCAACAAACUGACAGAAAACUGGCUUUGGAAUCACAUGUCAAAAUAACAAGAAGAUAUUAAAGUUCAACUAGUUUAGAAUUUAUAUCAAGAAGGGUUCCAAUAACAAAAAAAAAAAUCUUGGAAUAGCUUGUAGCAUUAAAUAAUAUCGAGUUGCAUUUGCAUGCAGUACAUCUGUUUUUCUGUCAAGAUUCAAAUGCAUUUAUCAAGAAAGAUGAAAUGCUUUAUUGACACACAGGAUUGACCAAGGUCUGAAUUUGGACAGUUCCGAUCCCUGUUCCUCGUUUCAAUUCUGGUUCCCAGUGAUUCUCGAUUCCGUUCUAUUAAGAAGCAGUGUCAAAAGUAUACAUGCAAUUCUCACGAGGCUAUUUUCAAGUAUUAUAUAAAUUACAGUUGUAAGGUAUACCAGUAUAUAUGAAUUACAAAUAUGCUGCCUUUUGAAAAAUACCUUUUUGCAAAUAUACUUUUUUUUUUCAUGCCAUGACAGCACGUUGUGGUGAUAUUGCUGGUAAUAUCAGCCGAAGCACAUGUUAGUCAACAUACACGCACACAACAUUUGCAAGCAGAUACAGCAUGAAGACAGAGUCAGAAUGGACGUAUUUUGGCUUUAAAACUAACGACGAAAGGUGAAGCUAUAAACACUGAGGCGCCACUCUGCUUGCGGUGCUUUAAAACAUUGCUCGGUAGCUAGCUAGUAGUUAACAUCCGUCCACAGUGUUUAGCUACUUCUAAAUCACUAAACCACGCCUCAAAUAAACUACAUUUUUUACAAGUAUCUUCCCUACAUAAGACGAGGACCUGCUAAACAUGCUUCAUUACACACGGUAGGAGGACACAGUAGCUAACCGCUCACAGCAAGCUAGCAGUCCUAAAUGUAAACGAAUGAGGGGGUCGAUACAAAUAUCGACUGUAAUGAUAACAAGUACAGGAGCUGUAUCUCGUCGAUACUACAAUGAUUACACUGAUAUUUUUUAUCAUUACAAAACUUUUGUCUUUAUUUUUUUAUUCUAUAUAAAGUCAGAAAAUAUUUCCCUGGACACGGCACAACUUAAAGUAUGACCAAUGUACGACCUUGUAACUACUUGCAUUGGAUCAAUAACCAAAUUUUUAGUAUCAACCAAAACGUAAAUUAUCCGAACAGCAGCAGAAUAAGUGCUUAUUACAUUUUAAUAGAAGCAGACAUGUGAUUUUUCCAUCUAAAGUCGGAAUUCCGUCUUUUUUAAUCUCGGGGGGGAAAAAAAUAAUCUUCCGUUUUUCCGUUUUUUUUUUCCGACCCUAAGACAAGAUUCGUUUACUUGCCGAUUCGUCUUUUGUAAUCGAGACGUAGCUUAUAUUACGCCAUAGUUGAUUGGUCGACAUGUUCCUUGUGACCAAUCAGGACAUCUGUUAUGAACGAUGACGUUAUUACCGGCAUUUUCUAAAUGUAAACGAUGUCGGUUCUCGAGAGAAAGGACGCUUCACGAGUAAAAGAAAUUGAUAAACAUUUCAAAAAUAAGUUUCGAUGGCACUGGAUGGAAAGGGAAAUCACUGAUACUGUUGGGAAGGAGGAAGUUACGACUUUGUUCGGCGAUUUUAUCCAGACAAUCGAUCUGUACCGUGGUAAUACUGUAAAUAAACUGUAGAUAAUAACACUGAUCAAUGUGACACCUGUGGAUGUGAAAUGAACACAAGAUGUAAAUAUUAGUGACUAAAUACUGUUGGGACUGAACCAUAUACAGUGAUUCAUUAGGAUAAUUGGGGUAUGUAUGUUCUAUUAAUGAUGUUUUCAUGUCUUUAAACACUAAAAUAUUUUUCUUCAAAUGGUGCUGUCUUUGUUAAUUUUAGCAUGUUAAAUUGGUGAAAAACCAGGAGCUGUCUGGGGGAUGAAGGCCCCCAGACCCCUGGAAAUGUUUUCAGUCUUUUUCAUUGUGGUCAAAUCACAUGCCUGUAGAUGUGUAGAUAGAACAUGUUAAAACAGAAAGUAACCAGAUAUUAACAAUAAAUGAACAAAUAGAUUAAUGCUUGUAAAUUGUUUAGCCUCGUCCUCCAGUGACUAUAAUCAAACAAAUUUUCAUUGAAGGCCACCUUACAGAAAUAGCUGCUCUCAGAGGGCCGCCUCUAACAAAUGAUUUUCAAAAAAUGGAUGGAUAGUAUUUUAUUGAUUCCUUCAGGAGAGUUCCCUCAGGAAAAAAAAUCAUUGCUUAAUGAUAUUACACAAUUGCUUAUGCAUUUGAUUAUUGAUUAUGUUUAACAAAAUGGUUAACUUGCUUUUAAAUCAUAAGCAGAUAUUUAGUUUUUUUUAUCUAGACAAAUUUUGGGGAGAAUAUACGUUAAUAUUACGUUUUUUGCCGUGAACAGAUAUUACAGUUUAAAAGACAUGCAUUUUACACAGUGCAUGCAAUUUUUCUGUCCAAAAACCCUAAUUUGUUUUAAAAAAAAAAGUGCUUUAUUUAUUCACAUAAUUGUCCAUGCUUUCGCGGCCCACAUAAAACAAUGUGACAGGCCAUGAGUUUCACACAAGUGCCUUAAAAAGGAAACUUUUUUUUACAUCAUUCGAGAAUUAUUGAUUUAAGGGAGCAAUUCCACACGAUGUAUGGAGAUAGAUACGUGCUAAGCCGCCUCUAUAGAAUGUGCAUCAUAAAUAGAAAUUGAUGUUUAAGAAUUUGGACGGUUUGUCAGGCAUCGGAUUUUAAGAUCCGUUUUUCUUUGAUGGUCGUUGCCCAACCUUUGUCGCACAUCAUUUGCAGGCUUUCACAGACCCACAUAAAAUGGCGGGCCAGAUGUGACCCCCAGGCCUUGAGUUUGACACUAUGUUCAAGUUGUUAAAUUUCCAACAGUAGAGUAUUCAUUGCGUGCGGACAAUUGUUUAAAAGUGAUUGUAGUCGGCGCUACCAAAAACAUGCAAUUUUUUUGUGUGUAGCUUUUUUGCUAAUGUGUGGUGUUUGUCAGAAAGUACGAGAAGCACUUUUGCGCACUUGUAUGUAUCCUCUCAUUCUCACAGCUCAGUUGUGUACAGUUGUGUGUCUACAUAUACACACAACUCUGCACUUGUCCAAUGUAAUAGACGCCAUACAGCGUCUAUUAUGGGGGCCGGCAACCCGCAUGCGGCUCUUUAGCGCUGCCCUAGUGGCUCUCUGGAGCUUUUUAAAAAAUGUAUGAAAAAUGGAAAAAGAUGAGAGGAAAUAAAAUAUAAAAAAUAUAUUUUUUGUUUUAAUAUAGUUUCUAUAGGAGGACAAACAUGACACAAACCUCCCUAAUUGUUAUAAAGCACACUGUUUGUUUUAAACAUGCCUCACUGAUUCGAGUAUUUGGCGAGCGCCGUUUUGUCCUAUUAAUUUUGGCGGUCCUUGAACUCACCGGAGUUUGUUUACAUGUAUAACGUUCUCCGACUUUCGAGGACGUGUUUUAUCCCACUUUUUCCGUCUCAUUUUGUCCGCCAAACUUUUACCGCUGUGCGUGAAUGCACAAAGGUUGCCGACCCUUGGACUAUUACAUUCAACAUAACAUUCGGGAAAGGGCGAGGACACACACUUAGUCACAUUGGUAAAUCACACAAUUUUAACAUCCAUCCAUCCAUUUUCUACCGCUUAUUCCCUUUCGGGGUCGCGGGGGGCGCUGGCGCCUAUCUCAGCUACAAUCGGGCGGAAGGCGGGGUACACCCUGGACAAGUCGCCACCUCAUCGCAGGGCCAACAUAGAUAGACAGACAACACUCACACUCACAUUCACACACUAGGGCCAAUUUAGUGUUGCCAAUCAACCUAUCCCCAGGUGCAUGUCUUUGGAGGUGGGAGGAAGCCGGAGUACCCGGAGGGAACCCACGCAUUCACGGGGAGAGAACAUGCAAACUCCACACAGAAAGAUCCCGAGCCUGGAUUUGAACCCAGGACUGCAGGACCUUCGUAUUGUGAGGCAGACGCACUAACCCCUCUUCCACCGUGAAGCCCCAAUUUUAACAUAUUCACACAAAAAAAAAAAGAUAAAACUUACAGCUUCCACACCUAUAGCUGACAUAGCUCCAGGCUUUAUUUUAAGAUGUUUAUCGAAGCCUGGCUUUUUUGGGUGGGCUAACAAAGUUGUCCUCUGUUAAGGAGUGGGCGUAUACAUGGGCUAGGUACAUCGAGCUAUGGGCGUGUCAGAGGCCAUAUGUCCAUGAGGAAAGAGGUUAAACCCUUUUUAUUAUCUGUCUAUCUAAUACUAUAUAUGUAAUUAUUACAUAUUUUAUAUUGCUACUACAGUACAUUUUAGUCUACUUUACACCUGCAUUAUCCUUUCCAUCCUUUGUAACUGAGCUACUCUGUGAAACAAUUUCCCUUGUGGAUCAUUAAAGUUUGUCUAAGUUGAA